rnacentral:rRNA from 1 species
CCUACGGGAGGCAGCAGUAGGGAAUCUUGCGCAAUGGACGCAAGUCUGACGCAGCAACGCCGCGUGAGGGAUGAAGGUCUUCGGAUCGUAAAACUCUGUUGAUAGAGAAGAAAAAUUGCUAAAGUAAGUGGUAGUGUAUUGACGGUAUCUAAACAGAAAGCCUCGGCUAACUACGUGCCAGCAGCCGCGGUAAUACGUAGGUUGCGAGCGUUGAUCGGAUUUAUUGGGCGUAAAGGGAGCGUAGGCGGUUUGUUAAGUCAGAUGUGAAAGGGCGCGGCUCAACCGGGGAAGGUCAUUUGAAACUGGGAAACUUGAGUGCAGUAGAGGAGGGUGGAAUUCCAGGUGUAGCGGUGAAAUGCGUAGAUAUAUGGAGGAACACCGGUGGCGAAGGCAACUCACUGGUCUGUAACUGACGCUGAGGCUCGAAAGCGUGGGUAGCAAACAGGAUUAGAUACCCUGGUAGUC